GAUGAACGCUGGCGGCGUGCCUAAUACAUGCAAGUCGAGCGAACGGACGAGAAGCUUGCUUCUCUGAUGUUAGCGGCGGACGGGUGAGUAACACGUGGAUAACCUACCUAUAAGACUGGGAUAACUUCGGGAAACCGGAGCUAAUACCGGAUCAUAUUUUGAACCGCAUGGUUCAAAAGUGAAAGACGGUCUUGCUGUCACUUAUAGAUGGAUCCGCGCUGCAUUAGCUAGUUGGUAAGGUAACGGCUUACCAAGGCAACGAUGCAUAGCCGAGCUGAGAGGGUGAUCGGCCACACUGGAACUGAGACACGGUCCAGACUCCUACGGGAGGCAGCAGUAGGGAAUCUUCCGCAAUGGGCGAAAGCCUGACGGAGCAACGCCGCGUGAGUGAUGAAGGUCUUCGGAUCGUAAAACUCUGUUAUUAGGGAAGAACAUAUGUGUAAGUAACUGUGCACAUCUUGACGGUACCUAAUCAGAAAGCCACGGCUAACUACGUG
rnacentral:rRNA from 1 species